rnacentral:rRNA from 1 species
GUAAUGCUUGGGAAUCUAGCUUAUGAGGGGGGAUAACUACGGGAAACUGUAGCUAAUACCGCGUAAUAUCGAAAGAUUAAAGUGUGGGACCUUCGGGCCACAUGCCAUAGGAUGAGCCCAAGUGGGAUUAGGUAGUUGGUGAGGUAAAGGCUCACCAAGCCGACGAUCUCUAGCUGGUCUGAGAGGAUGACCAGCCACACUGGGACUGAGACACGGCCCAG